rnacentral:rRNA from 1 species
GACGAACGCUGGCGGCGCGCUUAACACAUGCAAGUCGAGCGAGCGGCGGACGGGUGAGUAACACGUGGUAACCUGCCUUAGACAUUGGGAUAGCCUCGGGAAACCGGGAUUAAUACCAAAUGCGCUAAGAUGGACUCGCGUCCCAUUAGCUAGUAGGUGGGGUAAAGGCUCACCUAGGCGACGAUCUCUAGCUGGUCUGAGAGGAUGAUCAGCCACACUGGGACUGAGACACGGCCCAGACUCCUACGGGAGGCAGCAGUGGGGAAUAUUGCACAAUGGGCGCAAGCCUGAUGCAGCCAUGCCGCGUGUAUGAAGAAGGCCUUAGGGUUGUAAAGUACUUUCAGCGGGGAGGCGUUACCCGCAGAAGAAGCACCGGCUAACUCCGUGCCAGCAGCCGCGGUAAUUC